ensembl:lncRNA
CGUGGCGUAAACAGCAAAAAUUUGUUUUCUUGUGCUUCUGGAGGCUGGAAGGCUGAGACCAAGGUGUCGGCAGGGUUGGCUCCUCCUGAGGCCUCUUUCCUUGGUUUGCAGAUGAGCGUCUUCUCCCUGUGUCUUCUGUACCUAUGUCUUUGUUCAAAUUUUCCCUUCUUACAAGGGCACCAGUUAUAUUGGACGAUGGCCCUCGCUAAGGACCUCAUUUUACCUCUUUAAAGACCUUUUCUCCCAAUACAGUCACAUUCUGGUUACGGAGGAUUACAACUUCCAUAAAUGAAUUUUGGGAAGGAUAAUUCAGCCCACAACGCCAUCAUUUUCCACAACUACUGUGAGGCCCCUAGUUAGCCACUUUCUCCCCCAAGGCGCACAGCAACCAGGGGCCUUUUGUCCUCUAAAUCUACCGUAUUAAGUGCCUGGUUGACUCAGACUUGGACCCGCUCCUGUCAGAUGAGAGGGAUGAUGAAGCCCUGCGUCUGGCUCUUGAAGCAAAUGCCUCAUCAUGCGUCUUCUCCUCAAAAAGCUGCCUGUUGAUUAGAGUCUUGGAACAGUGUCUUUCCACAGCUUGUCGGCCCUGCUCACUGGCCUCAUGCCCAAGGACAGGCAACAGGUACAUGAAGAGACAGCAGAAGCAAUUUUGUGCCACCCAAGGAUGAUCUCAAUCCUGGAGUCCACCCAUACAGCAAACAGAUGGGCCAUAUGAGGACUGAGAGCUCAUGAGAUUGCUUGGAGCUGAGCAAGUGGGGAUUGCUGCAGGGAGGGCCAGGGCAAGGUAAACAGCGCAUGGCAAAGGCCUCUGCUGCAAUUGGAAAUGCCUACUGUGCCUAGCUGAUAAGUCUAAAAGGACGUAGGCCCAGUGGAGGCCAAAGCUGAGCCAUAUUCGGGUUUAUAGAGCAUUUGUGGAAAUUAGAGCUUAAUAAUAUAUAUUAAGGACUGUUGUGCAACAACCACAAUGAAAUAUUCAUCCCACUCAUAAGAUUCAGAGGAAUAAAAUAAACGUCCCCCAGGGACAACCUGCAAUGUUGGAGAAAUGUUAAUGGCGCCUUCCGAUCUCAGAAAGUACUCUGCAGUCUUAAAAUAGAACAACCUAAAGGUGACAGUGAUCUUCUGAGAAGGGGCAAAAGGAGGGGACACGGCAUAGGGAUUCCGAAUACCUGAUAACAGAGCCCCAGCCGUCCCUGGGAGAAGAGCCAACCACCAAGGUCAGGCCAUGGAUCUCAAAACAGCCCUGAGGAUAGCUGUGCCUCCGAGAUCAGGCUAAACUGCCCUGGGGUGACUCAGCUGAAGCUUGGAGACCUUAUGCAACUUGACCAAGUUCCCAUGGUGGCUAAAAUUAUGUAGUGGAUGCUGUGCUACGCUGACCAGAUGCCACUUUCAGGAUUGAGGGACACAGUCCCCCAGAUGCUGGGGAUGCUCUCAGCUGUUAGCCUCGAGACAUUUCCCUUGGCUGAAGACAGCCUCCUCUCCCAAGGUCUUGACAGCACUCCCUAAUAAACUUCCUGCGUGAUAGAAACAGAGAGGGAGAGAGAGAGAGAGAAAAAGAAAACAGGAAAACAGUACCCUUUCCUGGAUUCUUUACUUCCACCCGCCAGAAAAAUUGUCGAAACAACUAUAUAAAUAUAUGAGUGGGAUUUGGAAGGCGCCCCUUGAAGUUGUGCAGUGUACAACCUGCACAAAGAAGCAGUGGCUCGGUGUCAACCCCAUCUCACUCCUCUGCUUUUGGGGGUCCCCAGCACCAUUCAGCUGGAUUGAUUGACGAGUGUCCACUUGACCUUAACCAGUGCCUGAGCCAGCCUUCACAGGGAGGGAAGCAUGUCAGUUGCCUCAGCCACAUCACACAGUAGAACUUAGAAGUCAUUCCUUGUGUCCACCAGAUCUGGAAGGUGAGAAGCUAGGAGGGAGCUCUGAGGGCUCCCUAGAGACUUUCCCUCCUCAGCUUUGUGGCCUCGAUUUUACUCCUGGCCCUAACACCUUCCCAGAUCGUGCUCAGCUCUUUGGGCAUGAUUCUGUUUCCCCAGCCUCUCUUGGCCCCAAGUCACUCUCUCUCACUUUGGUCUUAAGCUGCUGUAUUUCCCAGAAUGCAUUUUGCCCAUGUCAAAUGUGAAAUAAAGUUCCUGGAAUAUCUGGGAUAUCUGGGAUCAUGCCUGGCAUCUCCUAACACCAACACAAAAGAAGCCCUAUAUGGGGCAAAAUAA